rnacentral:rRNA from 1 species
AGUUUGAUCCUGGCUCAGGAUGAACGCUGACAGAAUGCUUAACACAUGCAAGUCUACUUGAAUUUGGGUUUUUUAACUUCGAUUUGGGUGGCGGACGGGUGAGUAACGCGUAAAGAACUUGCCUCACAGCUAGGGACAACAUUUAGAAAUGAAUGCUAAUACCUAAUAUUAUGAUAAUAGGGCAUCCUAUAAUUAUGAAAGCUAUAUGCGCUGUGAGAGAGCUUUGCGUCCCAUUAGCUAGUUGGAGAGGUAACGGCUCACCAAGGCGAUGAUGGGUAGCCGGCCUGAGAGGGUGAACGGCCACAAGGGGACUGAGACACGGCCCUUACUCCUACGGGAGGCAGCAGUGGGGAAUAUUGGACAAUGGACCGAGAGUCUGAUCCAGCAAUUCUGUGUGCACGAUGAAGUUUUUCGGAAUGUAAAGUGCUUUCAGUUGGGAAGAAAGAAAUGACGGUACCAACAGAAGAAGUGACGGCUAAAUACGUGCCAGCAGCCGCGGUAAUACGUAUGUCACGAGCGUUAUCCGGAUUUAUUGGGCGUAAAGCGCGUCUAGGUGGUUAUGUAAGUCUGAUGUGAAAAUGCAGGGCUCAACUCUGUAUUGCGUUGGAAACUGUAUAACUAGAGUACUGGAGAGGUAAGCGGAACUACAAGUGUAGAGGUGAAAUUCGUAGAUAUUUGUAGGAAUGCCGAUGGGGAAGCCAGCUUACUGGACAGAUACUGACGCUGAAGCGCGAAAGCGUGGGUAGCAAACAGGAUUAGAUACCCUGGUAGUCCACGCCGUAAACG